rnacentral:rRNA from 1 species
GAUGAACGCUGGCGGCGUGCUUAACACAUGCAAGUCGAACGGGAUCCAAGGAGCGUUUUUCGUUUUUUGGUGAGAGUGGCGAACGGGUGAGUAACACGUGAGUAACCUGUCCUUUUCUUUGGGAUAAGCUCCUGAAAGGGUGUUUAAUACCUUAUGUUCUGUCUGCCUCGCAUGGGGUGGGUGGGAAAGAUUUUUUCGGUGAAGGGUGGGCUCGCGGUCUAUCAGCUUGUUGGUGGGGUGAUGGCUUACCAAGGCUUUGACGGGUAGCCGGCCUGAGAGGGUGGUCGGUCACAUUGGGACUGAGAUACGGCCCAGACUCCUGCGGGAGGCAGCAGUGGGGGAUAUUGCACAAUGGGCGCAAGCCUGAUGCAGCGACGCCGCGUGGGGGAUGAAGGCCUGCGGGUUGUAAACUUCUUUUGCUCUGAACAAGGCGCAUCUUUGGGGUGUGUUGAGUGUAGGGGUUGAUUAGCGCCGGCUAACUACGU